rnacentral:rRNA from 1 species
UACGGAGGGGGCGAGCGUUAUUCGGAAUUACUGGGCGUAAAGGGCGCGUAGGCGGCUUGGUCAGUCCCGUGUGAAAUCCCUCGGCUCAACUGAGGAACUGCACGGGAAACUGCCUGGCUUGAGUUCGGGAGAGGGAAGCGGAAUUCCGGGUGUAGCGGUGGAAUGCGUAGAUAUCCGGAGGAACACCGGUGGCGAAGGCGGCUUCCUGGACCGACACUGACGCUGAGGCGCGAAAGCUAGGGGAGCAAACGGG